AUUGAACGCUGGCGGCGUGCUUAACACAUGCAAGUCGUGCGGUAACAGGCGUAGCAAUACGUGCUGACGAGCGGCGAACGGGUGCGUAAUACAUGGGAAUCUGCCCUUUAGUGGGGAAUAACCCGGCGAAAGCCGGGCUAAUGCCGCAUAAGAUCUUCGGAUGAAAGCGGGGGAUCGUAAGACCUCGCGCUGAUGGAUGAGCCCAUGUCGGAUUAGCAGUUGGUGAGGUAAAGGCUCACCAAGGCGACGAUCCGUAGCUGGUCUGAGAGGACGGCCA
rnacentral:rRNA from 1 species